rnacentral:rRNA from 1 species
GAUGAACGCUGGCGGCGUGCCUAAUACAUGCAAGUCGAGCGAACGGACGAGAAGCUUGCUUCUCUGAUGUUAGCGGCGGACGGGUGAGUAACACGUGGAUAACCUACCUAUAAGACUGGGAUAACUUCGGGAAACCGUAGCUAAUACCGGAUAAUAUUUUGAACCGCAUGGUUCAAAAGUGAAAGACGGUCUUGCUGUCACUUAUAGAUGGAUCCGCGCUGCAUUAGCUAGUUGGUAAGGUAACGGCUUACCAAGGCAACGAUGCAUAGCCGACCUGAGAGGGUGAUGGGCCCCACUGGAACUGAGACACGGUCCAGGCUCCUACGGGAGGCAGCAGUAGGGAAUCUUCCGCAAUGGGCGAAAGCCUGACGGAGCAACGCCGAGUGAGUGAUGAAGGUCUUCGGAUCGUAAAACUCUGUUAUUAGGGAAGAACAUAUGUGUAAGUAACUGUGCACAUCUUGACGGUACCUAAUCAGAAAGCCACGGCUAACUACGUG